rnacentral:rRNA from 1 species
ACAUGCUUACAUCAUAUCAUUAAUGCAUCGGAUUCCAUUAGAACUAUGCAGUUAAGCAUGAUCAUAAUAGAGUAGUACUGGGAUGGGUGAUCGUCUGAGAAGUCCUAGUGUUUUACAUGAC